GUCUAGAAUAUUUUCAAAUAGUAAGUUCAAUUUGUGAUUAUACAUCAUUUGUUUUUCAAAAUUUAACAUCUUUAUAUCAAGUACCUGAAGAUUAUCAACUGUAUAUUUAACAUUUUUAUCAUGAGAAAUAAGAAGAAUAUUCCACGACGUAAGAAGAGAAAGUUUUGUGGCAACAGACAACUGUGACUAAGCCUCAGCCAGCCAGACAGCCCGAUCAGCAACAACCUAGGCCUGGCCCAUCAAAAUCUUGUGCAUUCGCAAGGAAAAUAAAAAAAAGUGUUGAAGGUAUGGCAGAUGAAUAUAAUAUAUCAUCUCCAGAACAUUUAAGAGGAUUCUUGUUCAUAGCAAUAUAAAUCCUAACAGCUCUUAUCAAUCAGAAUUUGUGUCCGGAAUGUUCAUUGCAAGGAUUCGCAAUGACGUCAAGCGGGGACUUACCCAACAAUUUGAUGUGCAUGGCUCACAUCAUCUGUUGCAGGGAAGGAAGAUGUUGAUGCAAGGAGAGUGAGACUUGAAAACCUUGUGGAUAACAUAAAAGCUUGAGGUGUUGAUCAUUUUCAAACUGUAAAUGAAAACCUCCAUCCUUACAACGAUGGAGUUUUUCGACUAUGAUGAAGUUCCUUUCUGUGAUAUAUUCGACAAUGUUUUACAGGAUUCUCCCUACCAACGUGAUAUCCCAGUUGAUUUUCAACAUAUUCUUGGCUUACCAAUCACGGCAAAACAUCUGCACAUAUGUACAAAUUUCUCCGAGAUGAACCAAAGUGUUAUUGCCGGGCAAGCAAGAAGGAAGCACAUUAGUAGAAGAUUAUGAAUGGGGACACAGUCAAGAAGGAAUAGAGAAGUACUGUAUCUAGACAUGCAGAUAAAUUCCAUCGUCUUAUACUUUUUAAAUAUGGUAACAUAUUUACUGGGUAUGAAGUUCAUUGAUGAAGUUCAUUAAUGUCAUACCUUAACUUCUUCAGUGUAGUCCAUUUCAUUCAACAAUGAGGCUAUCAACCUAACAGUGCUUAGAACAAGCACGGGUAGUUUAUCGUUGUGCGCUAUUAUACCCAUUUGGUUCUAGUUGCACACAGUGAUAAUGAAUAGGAUAAAAUUAAAUUCAGUUGAUGGGCAGUGCAUCGAAUGCAUAUGUUCACCUCAUCCUCAAAAUCAAACUUUCAAAUUGUAGAGUCCUUCAAUAUUAAUGUAUUAUGCAAAACAUGCCUUUAGCUACACGAUUUACACUAUUAUAUGACAAUUUCAGCUUGUAUUAUUAAUAUAAAAAAAUCCGGUUUUAACGCAGCUCUCUUUAGUCGCUCCCAUCCGAUCGCUUCUCGGCAGUUUAUCGUUGUGCACUACUACACCCAUUUUGGUUCUAGUUGCGCAUAGUGAUAAAUAAUAGGAUACAAUUGAAAUUAUUGACGGGUAGUUUAUCACUGUGCGCUACUAUACCCAUUUUGGUUCUAGUUGCGCACAGUGAUAAUGAAUAGGAUAAAACUCAAUUCAGUUGAUGAAUUAAUAUAAUUAAUAUAAUUUAUUCAGAACUUCACUUUUGAAACACUGGCACUCGUUCAAAAGGAAGGUGCGUCCGAGAAAAUAAAUACAACCAUGAGAUAACAAAUUUAAGCUAAAUAAAUCUCACUGUAUAAAGCAAAACAUUAACUGAAAAAUUCAGAUAGGAAAUAAUAAACACUCACUCAAAAACUUUCUUUUCCUGGUUAAGUAAGGGUGUGGGGAAAUGCAAAAUCACAUAGAUGACACAUGUCACAUAUAUACACAUAUAUCUAUACAUAUAUUUUGUAAUUUUUGUAUAUCCAUUUUUUACAGUUUUCAUUUUAAUAACUUGUACACUAGGUUUUGUUUCUGUAAUUGUUUAUGUGACUACCAUCGUGUUGAAGCUCAGCUAGAUGGAACACAUUACAGUGUUUGGUGUAUGUAUUAUGCAUUAUCUGAGUUUUUCAUGGAAUCUUUCGGUAUUUCUUUUAACGUAUCUUUUUUGUUAAGUUUCUAUCUUUUAUCUAUGAACGCACAAAUUUAUUUUGAGUGUAACCGGUCUAAAGGUGUAGGUUCAAAUAAAUAAAUAAGUAUACUCAGUAUAAAUACUCACAGCAUGUUCAGUUAAUUUCAAGCUUUGACAAAGGCUACAAGGGUAGC